rnacentral:rRNA from 1 species
CGCCCAUUAGCUAGCUCCCCCUCCCCCAAAAACAACAAAAAAAUCUCAAUACCCCCAUAUACCCUCCUACACAUAUUAAACAAAACAUUUUUCCCCCCCAGUAUGGGAGACAAAAAAGGAUCAAUAAAGCUAUAGAAAAAGUACCGCAAGGGAACGCUGAAAAAGAAAUGAAAUAGCCCAGUAAAGCUCUAAAAAGCAGAGAUUAACACUCGUACCUUUUGCAUCAUGAUUUAGUUAGUAAAACCCAAGCAAAGAGGACUUUAGUUUGACUCCCCGAAACUAGAUGAGCUACUCCAAGGCAGCCUAUUAGUAGGGCCAACCCGUCUCUGUGGCAAAAGAGUGGGAAGACCUUCGAGUAGAGGUGACAGACCUAUCGAAUCUAGCUAUAGCUGGUUGCCUGAAAAAUGAACAGAAGUUCAGCCUCCGAAUUUCUUCACUCACUAAAUAUUUUAUCCAAACCCCAUAGACAACAAGAAAUUCAGAGAGUUAGUCAAAGGGGGUACAGCCCCUUUGACCCAAGACACAACUUUUCAGGGUGGGUAAAGAUCAUAACUAAGUUAAAAGAAAAAUAUCCCAGUGGGCCUAAAAGCAGCCAUCCAAACAGAAAGCGUUAAAGCUCAAACAUUACUCUUAACCUAAUUAUCACGACAACCACUAUCUUAAACCCCCAACCUUACCAGGCCUUUCCAUGCAACCAUGGAAGAGACCAUGCUAAUAUGAGUAAUAAGAGAGGUCCCUCUCCCUCUCUCCAUGCACACAUGUAAAUCGGAACGGACCCCCCACCGAACCUUAACGACCCCAAACAACAGAGGGCAUUAGACAAUAAGCUUAACAACUAGAAAAAUACCUACCCCACCCCCGUUAACCCCACACCGGUGUGCAAUUAAGGAAAGACUAACAGAGAAAAAAGGAACUCGGCAAACACUAAAGCCCCGCCUGUUUACCAAAAACAUCGCCUCUUGCCAAACAACAAAUAAGAGGUCCCACCUGCCCAGUGACUAUAUGUUCAACGGCCGCGGUAUUCUGACCGUGCAAAGGUAGCGCAAUCACUUGUCUUUUAAAUGGAGACCUGUAUGAAUGGUAUCACGAAGGCUUGACUGUCUCCUUUCUCAAGUCAAUGAAAUUGAUCUUCCCGUGCAGAAGCGGGCAUAAACUCAUAAGACGAGAAGACCCUAUGGAGCUUUAGACACAAAACGGACUACGUCAAACACCCCCCUAUAAAGGAUUGAACUUAAUAGCCCCCAUUUAAAUGUCUUUGGUUGGGGCGACCAUGGGGAAACAAAAAACCCCCACGCGGACAGGAAGCACUACUUUAAUAAAACCUACCACAACCCAGAGCCCCCGCUCUAAUGACCAGAAAUUCUGACCUACAAGACCCGGCAAUAGCCGAUCAACGGACCGAGUUACCCUAGGGAUAACAGCGCAAUCCCCUUUCAGAGUCCAUAUCGACAAGGGGGUUUACGACCUCGAUGUUGGAUCAGGACAUCCUAAUGGUGCAGCCGCUAUUAAGGGUUCGUUUGUUCAACGAUUAAAGUCCUACGUGAUCUGAGUUCAGACCGGAGUAAUCCAGGUCAGUUUCUAUCUAUGAUAUAUUCUUCUCUAGUACGAAAGGACCGAGAAGAAAGGGCCCAUGCCCCAAGUACGCCCUCCCCUUACCUAUUGAAAACAACUAAAAUAGAUAAAAGAACAUAUCUCCCUGCUUAAGAAAAUAGCAU